rnacentral:miRNA from 8 species
CAGCCACAACUGCCCUGCCAC